rnacentral:misc_RNA from 1 species
UUAUUUCCUAAAGGGGAGUAGCUGUACACGUAAAGUCGUCAUUACGAGAUAACCGUCUCCGGCUUUAUGUGGCAACCAGAAAAGUUGUUAGCGAGACCUUUACCGAUUGC